rnacentral:tRNA from 1 species
UCCCUCAUAGCUCAGUCAGUAAAGAAUCUGCCUGCAAUGCAGGAGAUCUGGGUUCGAUUCCUGGGUUGGGAA